rnacentral:rRNA from 2 species
CUGGCUCAGGACGAACGCUGGCGGCGUGCCUAAUACAUGCAAGUCGAGCGGAUGAUAAAGGAGCUUGCUUCUUUAGAUUCAGCGGCGGACGGGUGAGUAACACGUGGGCAACCUGCCUGUAAGACUGGGAUAACUUCGGGAAACCGGAGCUAAUACCGGAUAACUCUUCGAACCUCAUGGUUCGAAGAUAAAAGAUGGUUUCGGCUAUCACUUACAGAUGGGCCCGCGGCGCAUUAGCUAGUUGGUGAGGUAACGGCUCACCAAGGCGACGAUGCGUAGCCGACCUGAGAGGGUGAUCGGCCACACUG